rnacentral:rRNA from 1 species
CCUACGGGGGGCAGCAGUGGGGAAUAUUGCGCAAUGGGCGAAAGCCUGACGCCGCGACGCCGCGUGAGGGAUGAAGGUCUUCGGAUCGUAAACCUCUGUCAGCAGGGAAGAACGGUCACUUUGCUAAUCAGCAGUGAAUUGACGGUACCUGCAAAGGAAGCACCAACUAACUCCGUGCCAGCAGCCGCGGUAAUACGGAGGGUGCGAUCGUUAAUCGGAAUUACUGGGCCUAUAGCGCUCGUAGGCGGUAUGUCAAGUCAAGGGUGAAAUCCCGGCGCUCAACGUGGGAACUGCAUUUGAAACUGGGCAGCUGGAGGGUGUGAGAGGAUAGUGGAAUUCCAGGUGUAGGAGUGAAAUCCGUAGAGAUCUGGAGGAACAUCAGUGGCGAAGGCGACUAUCUGGCACAUAACUGACGCUGAGGAGCGAAAGCGUGGGUAGCAAACAGGAUUAGAUACCCGUGUAGUC